GGGUAUGUUACGGCAUCGACAGACAGUCGGCGGCUUGUAGUGUAUGUGGAGAGGCCGGAUCAACUCCUAACAAUUUCGGCAAAUCGUCAAAUGCCAACGCAUCUGACCAGGGUCGUGUGGCUUCGCCAUACUACUCUCCGGCUUUCGCUUUAGCGUAAACCGGUGUUCGCUCGAGUUUUCGUCCGAAUGACUCGCGCGGGCAUAAUAAAUUUCGGACUAGCGAUUGAAAUUUUCUCGCUCCAACCGCGAAUCAAAGAGAAUCGGUUGUUUAAGCUCUUGAUUGUUUCUGACUUAAACAACUUAAAGCGACCCGCCUAACGGGUCGAAGGAAACAAUCUAAACAUAUAGAAGCGCUUGUGGCCCCUGUUUGCACGCGGGUUCGACUCCCGCCAUAUCCACUU
rnacentral:tmRNA from 2 species